rnacentral:rRNA from 1 species
GUCCUAGCAGUAAACGAUGGGCACUAGGUGUGGGGGGUCAUCAACUCCCUCCGUGCCGCAGCUAACGCAUUAAGUGCCCCGCCUGGGGAGUACGACCGCAAGGUUAAAACUCAAAGGAAUUGACGGGGGCCCGCACAAGCAGCGGAGCAUGUGGCUUAAUUCGACGCAACGCGAAGAACCUUACCAAGGCUUGACAUGCAGGGAAAAGCGGCGGAAACGUCGUGUCCGCAAGGGCCCUGCACAGGUGGUGCAUGGCUGUCGU